rnacentral:rRNA from 1 species
AAUCAACGCUGGCGGCGUGCCUCAGACAUGCAAGUCGAACGAUUAAAGCUCUCUUCGGAGAGUGCAUAGAGUGGCGCACGGGUGAGUAACACGUAAGUAAUCUACCCUCGAGUGGGGAAUAACGUCCGGAAACGGACGCUAAUACCGCAUAAUGCAGCGGCACCGCAAGGUGACAGUUGUUAAAGGAGAAAUUCGCUUGAGGAGGAGCUUGCGGCAGAUUAGCUUGUUGGUAAGGUAACGGCUUACCAAGGCUACGAUCUGUAACCGGGCUUAGAGGACGGUCGGUCACACUGACACUGAAUAACGGGUCAGACUCCUACGGGAGGCAGCAGUCGGGAAUUUUGGGCAAUGGGCGAAAGCCUGACCCAGCAACGCCGCGUGAAGGAUGAAGUAUUUCGGUAUGUAAACUUCGAAAGAAUAGGAAGAAUAAAUGACGGUACUAUUUAUAAGGUCCGGCUAACUACGUGCCAGCCGCCGCAG